rnacentral:lncRNA from 1 species
UUGGAACGAUCUUUCCAACGUCACCGAGUUUGCUCGAUUCCGAGUUCGUAUGAGCGAGUUAUGCCCUUUGAAAGUUGGGCAGUUAGCAAGGAGUCCGUCCGGAAAUUUAAGGGCAUUUUGGUCUUUUCACAAAUCUUUUCUUUUGAGGUUAUAUUAUUGUGUUAGGCUGAUUGUGGAUCAUUUUUGUUCCAUUUUAAAAGAGUAAGAGUUAGGGUUCUUGAGUGAAGAAGAGAAGAAGAGGGGAAGAAGAAGAAGUUGGAGCUAGGAUUGAAGAUUUUGAGUUCUUUCUUCUUCAAUUCUCGUGGGUUUUCAACUUAGAGGUAUGGAGAUCCUUUAUCCUUGAUUAUUCUUCCUUUCAACGAGCUCAAUUCAAAUGAUUCAAAGUUCUUCCAAAAACACAAAAAUCCUAAUUUCGAUUCUAAGCAUGGGUUCUUGCAUUAAAUGAUUUUUUUUGAUGAUUUACGUUAUUAAUGGUGUCUAUUGAUGGUUUUAAGAAAGAAAUUUCCAUGAACCAAUAUCUUGGCAAGUUUCCUAAAGUUGGCUUAUGAAGUGGGUUUAUUGUUUAGGAUUGAAUGAUGAUGGAAGUAUGCUUGGAUUGAGUUGAAUAGUUGACUACUAUUAUUAUCUAUGCUUAUCAAUUGUGAAUUGUUGGAGAGUUGAGGAAUGGUGAUUGUGGCUUGGGGAAAAGGGUAAGUGGACCUAACUUCCCUGUUAAGGUAGAGUUGAUAUAGAAUUGUGAUAGAUUGAUGUGUGAUCCACUUAUGGUGGAGGUGUUUACUUAUCGAAUGUAUUGUGUUUUAUGGUCCUUGGAGGGCAUUAUAUGAGGAAUUGAAGUGUUGACAUGAUAUCAUAUAUGUGAAUGUGAUGUAAAGGCAAUCAUGUUGUGAAUAUAAAGGUGUUCAUGUGAUCUCAAGGUGAUCUUGUUUAAAGUGUUAUUGUAUUGUGAUUGAAAGUGUGUCCUCUAUUAUUGUUCAUAUGUGAUGAUGAUGAAAUGUGAAGGAUAUUUAUAAUGUGAUGUGUGGCUUGACUUGGUAGACUUAGGUGCCUCUUCUUGAUACAUUAGAAGCCUUGUUGAAUAUGAAUCGAUAGGAUAUGGCAGUCUUUUCGGAUGUAAGUGACGAAACCUGCUUUUGUAGCUGGAUAGUGUUUGGUAUUUUGGGCAUAUCUCUUUCUCUAGAACGUAGUUUGCAGUGAAUAAAUAUGAUUUGGAAAGCUAACUCGUAUACCUACAACUUUUAUGUUUAUGUAAAAUUCUAAUUUAACUGUUAUGGAUACGAAAUAUGGGACGCAACAUAGGGCAAGUUCUGCCCAGAUUCCGAGAAUUGAAAUCCUGCAUGACCAGCGGCUAGUGUCUUGACUAUAUCUCUUUGUACAAAAUAUAUUUUGCGGUGAUCCUUGUUUGUUUGCAACCCUAAGAGAUGUAUCUACAUCUUUCAUGAAGGUUAUAAAGCCUAGUUCUGCCAUUUUCCUUUUCAAAUCUAAGAUGCAACAUGAAGUACUAGGCUGGCCAGAUUCACUGUUUUGGGUGCAUAGUUGUAUUUGUACAUGCUAGGCUUACUUAUGAUGAUGAUCCUAUUUUACGUCAACAUUACUGAGCUAAUAGAAGUUAAAUAAGUUAUGUAAUUGUAUUUCUAAGGUUGAUAUACUCGUGAACAAGUUGAGGUAUGUGGGUUUGAUUGUGGAAACCUUCCUUUCCACAAGUCCAACCAUUUAUCCUCUAUUUCUACUUCAAGUUUAUGGGUCCUUAUGAACUCUUGAAUUAUGGAAUUACUACUACACAUCCUAUUAUGGUCUAUUUUACAUAUUAUCAUGAAAUGGAAUUAUUAUGUGAUGUUUAUGGUUUUCAUGCUUCCAUGAUCAAAUUAUGAAGGUUGAUAUAUAUGUAUGUUGUUGGUGGGCUGAUUUAUAUGGAUUUUGGAAUUGGUUGGACUUAGUACUCUUGAAAGACAUGAUUUUAUCUACAUGAACAAUAGCCCACCAUGUGUUUGAUAAAAUGCCCACUUAUAGAAUUCUUAGGAAAUGGAAGGUCCAAUGUACGUCCUAUGAAUCGGAUGGUUAUAUAAUUACUGAAAUGAUGAUGAAAUGGACACAUGUAUAUGAUUUUCUCUAUAUACGUGUUGUGAGUCGACCAAGCCUAGUACGGGGGGUAGUAGGCCCGUAUAACCAUAUCGAGGGGUUGGUACCUUGGUUGCCUAGUACGGGGGGUAGUAGGCCCGUAUAACCAUAUCGAGGGGUUGGUACCUUGGUUGCCUAGUACGGGGGGUAGUAGGCCCGUAUAACCAUAUCGAGGGGUUGGUACCUUGGUUGCCUAGUACGGGGGGUAGUAGGCCCGUAUAACCAUAUCGAGGGGUUGGUACCUUGGUUGCCUAGUACGGGGGGUAGUAGGCCCGUAUAACCAUAUCGAGGGGUUGGUACCUUGGUUGCCUAGUACGGGGGGUAGUAGGCCCGUAUAACCAUAUCGAGGGGUUGGUACCUUGGUUGCCUAGUACGGGGGGUAGUAGGCCCGUAUAACCAUAUCGAGGGGUUGGUACCUUGGUUGCCUAGUACGGGGGGUAGUAGGCCCGUAUAACCGUAUCGAGGGGUUGGUACCUUGGUUGCCUAGUACGGGGGGUAGUAGGCCCGUAUAACCAUAUCGAGGGGUUUGUACCUUGGUCCCUAGCUCGGGGGGUGGUAGGCCCGGGUAACCACAUUGAGGGGUUUGUACCUCUUUCGCCUCUCCAAGGGGGUGGUAGGCCUUGGAAAUACUAUAUUGAUGGUCACUCACCACACUUGUGCUACGUCCCACUAAAUAUGACUUUUAUGUAAGCGUCAUUAUAUAUAUAUCGUUUCAUUAAUGUGCUAUCUAACGGGUAUUACUAUGCAUUUUCCUACGAUGUCCAUCUAUGGUAGCAUUGCAUUGCAUCCCAUAUACUUAGUACAUUCAAAUGUACUAACGCAUACUCUAUGCCUACAUGAUGUCACCAUGUAGGGACCGGAGCACCGCUUGACCAUCCUCCUCCGCGUGGCUAAUACGAUUUCCUAUCAAGGUUAUUGGUGAGUCCUCCAUUCCGGGGACGUUGCUCAUGAUCUUUUGCUAUGUAUAAGACUUUUCCUUUUAGUUAUGUUUUGACUAUGAGGGUGAGCCCGGUAGUUUGUCUUGGCCCCCGCUAAGUACUCAUGUUUAGAGGUGGUGUUGGACAAGUUGUGUAUUAUGCUUGAGCUUGACUCAUCUAUGGUAUUUUUGUAUCAUUCUUAUUUUUGUUUCUCUUGCUCCCUUAGUCCCGAUUCCCCCCUUAAUUAUGCUUAUCGCUUAUGGUCAUUUUAUUUGCUUCCGCGACCAAGGAUGUGUAAUGAUACGCUAUGAGGCUUGUUUGGGGUUCCUUCGGGUUCCCCAUUCGCCGGUCACGUCUAGGCACUAGGCUUGGGUCGUGACAGGAACCUAUCCAUAAAUUAACACUACCAUACCUUUAUUGGAAAUCCUUCACGAAAUUGAAGAGGAAAGUUGAGUUCUUGUGCCUUGGUAUCCUAGUUCUUCUUCUUCUUCAAUGGUGGUUUUUAGUGAGAGAAUUUUUGGAGAGGGGAGCUUCUGAUUUGGGUCUUGUGAGAAUGAGUUAGUUUGCUUAGUUUAGGGGUCUUAUUAAGUAUUUAUAGGUGUCUUAAAUAAUAUUAAACAACCCUACUUAUUUACUUAGUUAACCCUUAACCCCUCCCUUAAUCCUUAUUUCAAAAAUUAAAGACACAAAAUCUGGUGUGACCUACGAAACCCCCACCCACAGACCGUGGGUGGGGUCACGAGCCGUACUGGUAAUUCAUAAUUUGUGACUGAAACUUGGGAAGAACAGGGGAGGUCCAUCCUCGACCCACNNNNNNNNNNNNNNNNNNNNNNNNNNGACUCGGAAAAAUGAUAGGUUAAGCAAGAGCCUAUGACUUUGUGUUGACUUUAUAAUGAGGUUCUAUGAGGGGUUUUUAUGUAAUUUCAUUUUAAUUGUGUUACAUCCGACAAUUUAAAAUGAAUAUGAAGAAGCUUGAAAUUGGAAGUAGUCAUUUUUGGGAAAAAAUUUAGAAUCUGGAAAUUCGGCCAAGUGUGGAAAUCAGUGAGUUUUUGGCCAACUUUGAGCAGUCAUAACUCCUAGCUCAGGAUGAUCCAGGAGUAGUUCCAGUUAUAUUUGGAAAGCCCUUGGAACGAUAUUUCCAACGCCACCUAGUUUGCUCGAUUCCGAGUUCGUAUGAGCGAGUUAUGCCCUUUGAAAGUUGGGCAGUUAGCAAGGAGUCCGUCCGGAAAUUUAAGGGCAUUUUGGUCUUUUCACAAAUCUUUUCUUUUGAGGUUAUAUUAUUGUGUUAGGCUGAUUGUGGAUCAUUUUUGUUCCAUUUUAAAAGAGUAAGAGUUAGGGUUCUUGAGUGAAGAAGAGAAGAAGAGGGGAAGAAGAAGAAGAAGAAGUUGGAGCUAGAGUUGAAGAUUUUGAGUUCUUUCUUCUUCAAUUUUCGUGGGUUUUCAACUUAGAGGUAUGGGG